AAAAAUAGACCAGUGCUUCAGUAGGUACUGCACAUUUGGAACAGUGUCUUAUGCUGGCAUGAUGAAAAGAAUCUGCCUGAGGUAAAUCCCAGAUCCAGAGAAGGGAAUUAUGGGCAACAGAUCAAGACAGUCAUAACAGAAGAACUUGGGAGUCACAUUUAGAGACCAUAGGUGUCUUCUACAUCAACAGGAAUUCACUGGAGUGGAAGAAGUGGCUCAUUAAUAG